rnacentral:rRNA from 1 species
UACGUAGGGUGCUAGCGUUGUCCGGAUUUACUGGGCGUAAAGCGCACGCAGGCGGUUCGCCAAGUUUGGAGUGACAGUUGUCGGCUCAACCGACAAAGGACUUCAAAAACUGGUGAACUUGAGGACGAGAGAGGAACAUGGAACUCCAGGUGUAGUAGUGAAAUGCGUAGAUAUCUGGAAGAACACCAAUGGCGAAGGCAAUGUUCUGGCUCGUUUCUGACGCUCAGGUGCGAAAGCCAGGGGAGCGAACGGG